ACAUGGUGGACCGGAGACGUCAAGAUUCGUUAACGAGAAUCUGUUUGCUAAUCUCAAGAGAUUUGCGUCUGAGGAUCAAGAUAUGUCUGCGAAUGUUAUCAAGAUAUAGCGUAACCGGUCUGACAUUCAAGAGGUGUAUUACAGUGAAGAGACACAUAAGUUUUCAGUGUCAGCAAUAGAGGAAAGUGUGAAGUUAGAAGGAAGAAUGACCUUUCCUCUUUGGACA